rnacentral:rRNA from 1 species
UCCGUAGGUGAACCUGCGGAAGGAUCAUUACCGGUCUGCCAGCCAGCCAGCCAGCCAGACAGCCAGCCCAAGGCUGCUGCUGCUGCU